rnacentral:rRNA from 1 species
GCUUUCGUGCAUGAGCGUCAGUGUUAUCCCAGGAGGCUGCCUUCGCCAUCGGUGUUCCUCCGCAUAUCUACGCAUUUCACUGCUACACGCGGAAUUCCACCUCCCUCUGACACACUCUAGCUCGGUAGUUAAAAAUGCAGUUCCAAAGUUAAGCUCUGGGAUUUCACAUCUUUCUUUCCGAACCGCCUGCGCACGCUUUACGCCCAGUAAUUCCGAUUAACGCUUGCACCCUACGUAUUACCGCGGCUGCUGGCACGUAGUUAGCCGGUGCUUAUUCUGCAGGUACCGUCAGUUUCACGGGGUAUUARCCCAUGACGUUUCUUUCCUGCCAAAAGUGCUUUACAACCCGAAGGCCUUCAUCGCACACGCGGGAUGGCUGGAUCAGGGUUUCCCCCAUUGUCCAAAAUUCCCCACUGCUGCCUCCCGUAGGAGUCUGGGCCGUGUCUCAGUCCCAGUGUGGCUGGUCGUCCUCUCAAACCAGCUACGGAUCGUCGCCUUGGUGAGCCGUUACCCCACCAACUAGCUAAUCCGAUAUCGGCCGCUCUAAUAGUGCAAGGUCUUGCGAUCCCCUGCUUUCCCCCGUAGGGCGUAUGCGGUAUUAGCUACGCUUUCGCGUAGUUAUCCCCCGCUACUAGGCACGUUCCGAUACAUUACUCACCCGUUCGCCACUCGCCACCAGACCGAAGUCCGUGCUGCCGUUCGACUUGCAUGUGUAAGGCAUCCCGCUAGCGUUCAA